UACGAAGGGGGCUAGCGUUGCUCGGAAUCACUGGGCGUAAAGGGUGCGUAGGCGGGUCUUUAAGGCAGGGGUGAAAUCCUGGAGCUCAACUCCAGAACUGCCUUUGAUACUGAGGAUCUUGAGUACGGGAGAGGUGAGUGGAACUGCGAGUGUAGAGGUGAAAUUCGUAGAUAUUCGCAAGAACACCAGUGGCGAAGGCGGCUCACUGGCCCGAUACUGACGCUGAGGUGCGAAAGCGUGGGGAGCAAACAGG
rnacentral:rRNA from 1 species